AUCUAUAGCCAUAUUGCCCCAAACAGGUUGAUCUUGUCUGAUCUUAGAAGCUAAGCAGGGUUGAUCUUGGUUAGUACUUGAAAUGGGAAAUAAUACUGGGUGCUGUAGGCU
ensembl:rRNA nuclear encoded rRNA 5S 15